rnacentral:rRNA from 1 species
UACGUAGGGGGCUAGCGUUGUCCGGAAUAAUUGGGAGUAAAGAGUGUGUAGGCGGCUAGGUAAGUAAGAUGUGAAAGUCCAGGGCUCAACCCUGGAAUGCCAGUGGAAACUGUCGAGCUAGAGUCCGGAAGAGGCGAGUGGAAUUCCUGGUGUAGCGGUGAAAUGCGCAGAUAUCAGGAGGAACACCAAUGGCGAAGGCAGCUCGCUGGGACGGUACUGACGCUGAGACGCGAAAGCGUGGGGAGCAAACAGG